GCAGACCUGCACUCGGUAAUGAUCCUUCCGCAGGUUCACCUACGGAAGGA
rnacentral:rRNA from 1 species